CGCGUCUCCUUUCGUUACGCGUCUCCUUUCAGUGGCUCGGACUGAAUACGUCGUCUUACAGAGGAGAACAGCGUUCGUCUCCCUAACUGAUGUGUUUACAUUGUUUCCUUCAUCUUCGGCAACCUCGCCGGAAGAAGGAGUUGUGGUUUUGGGGCCACGCUAGCUGUUUCCCCCCGUUUCCAGUCUGUGUGCUAAGCUAAGCUAAUUCCAUGGGAUUCUCUGAAUAAAGAACAGCACCAACGGGCUCCAACCAGAGAAGAAGAAGAAGUGUGAGGCGCCGCUGCACAACGCAGAGUCUCUAGUCGGAGACGUGGACGCCUCACAGGUCCCCGACCGGCAGCUCCUCUGAGGGGAACCUGCUGAACGCCAGCGGGGCAAAGAAAGAGAGCGGCCAACACAACCAAACCAUUGAUCUGGGCAAAAGAACACCGACGUUCGGGAGAUUGGAAUCAACGUUUGAGGUGUUUGGAUCACACAGAAGAACAUUUGUGAGACGCCAAACGGGUGAGAAGAUGCUGGAGGAGUCCUGAUCCAAUCGGACUCGCGGGAGGUGCUUUUCUACAGGUGACCUCAACAAACGAACUGAUGCUGAACGUCUGCAAAGCUGGAACUGCUGCAAGAGUUUGAAGAACAAAAUGAAUAUAAAUAAAAAUGAUUAUUUCUAACCGUGUCAAUGUCUCGACUAUAUUUUAAAUUCAUUUUGCAGCUCAUUUGAUAAAUAAAAGUGUGAGUUUUCAGGGAAAACACAAAGUUGAACUUUUGAAUGGUAG
ensembl:lncRNA